AUUGAACGCUAGCGGGAUGCUUUACACAUGCAAGUCGAACGGAGUGGCGGACGGGUGAGUAAUAUAUCGGAACGUGCCCAGUAGCGGGGGAUAACUACUCGAAAGAGUGGCUAGUACCGCAUACUAUUAGAGCGGCCUAUAUCGGAUUAGCUAGUUGGUGGGGUAAAGGCUCACCAAGGCAACGAUCCGUAGCUGGUUUGAGAGGGCGACGAGCCACAAUGGGAAGGAGACACGGCCGAGACGCCUCCGGGAGGCAGCAGUGGGGAAUUUUGGAGAAUGGGGGAAACCCUGAUCCAGCAAUCCCGCGUGUAUGAAGAAGGCCCUAGGGUUGUAAAGUACGGGUGGCAGAGAAGCGGUAUCUGCAGAAUAAGCACCGGCUAACUACGUGCCAGCAGCCGCGGUAAUUC
rnacentral:rRNA from 1 species